ACUUCCGGGUUUUGUUGUUUACAAAUAAACCGUUACCAGUUCGUUCUUAACGAUAUUGUGUUACUGUUUAAAAGACUGUAUAUUUUAGUAAACCACCAACGAAUUGGUUAAACUACAUAUGACUGAUAUAAUUUGAGGCGAAUAGUGUUCUCCUCAUUGGAAGUCGCAGCUGCAGCUUUCAAACCAACUUUGGACUGUGUUAUGAAGAAGAGAGUGAGCCGUGCGCGGUUUUCCGAUGUGGCAGCAGGACAGAGAAGCCAGACUCAGUUAGUUGCCGGGGUCAAGAAACAUUUUGGGCGGCGAGGAAGAACCAAUAAUAAUGCUGCAAAGAUAACUUCACCAUCAGUGACAGAUCUACAAUUUUAUAAUUGAGCACAGCAGUGUCAGCUGUGGCGACAGAAGGGGAGGAGCGGCCACAGCAUAGAUCAAAGAAAUCCUGUGAUUCCCCUUCAAAAUUCUUGACAAGCAGUCUAGAUUUUGAGGUCAAUGAUAGGUUGUUGUCAGGUGUUUUACCUCCAUAAGGUAAAGUGUCAGCUGUUAAACGUUCUCAAAUGCAACCUACUUCCUUGUCUGAUCCUACAGGUAUGGGCAUACUCAGCAUUGCAUUCUGUCAUGGAAAGUUCUCACCUCGGAGGCUGCGGCAUGCCUUCGACAAGUGGCCAGGGGAUCCAGACAGAGCCAGCCCAGUCGCCACUGUUUUUAUACAUAGACUUUCAGGGCCUAGUUGGACUGCCACUGAACCGUGGUCCACGUCACUCAGUUUGUCUGCAAGACCUGCCACACAAAAUGCUACAAGUGCCACACAAUACUGCUCAUAUUUAUGCAGAGGGUUAACAUCUUGCCCUCUGUGAAUGUGCACACCAGAGGCAGGUGAGAAAAACUGCAAGCAACUGUAAUGUCACAAUGUAGAGAGCGGCGAUUGCAAAACUACGAGGGUCAGCAAUGAGCUAGUCUGCAAAUCUGGCCCAAAGCAGCAGUGAAACCAUAACAUGAUAUUGAUUUUGGUUUCAGGAAGAGUUCAGAGGGCUCUCAAUGAACGGUGGACCCCAUCUUGUUGUCACCCUCCAUCCCCUCCUUCCCAAGUGUCUCCACAGCCUGGUGUCCUGGGCCCACCACCAUGCAGAGGACUGCCGCUCUUGCCCUGAGCUGAAAGAAGUGCUGGAGAGGCAGUGCUGGGGCUCAGUAAGUGCCGUCUGGGGGUGUGUGGAUGGACAUAGUUACGGAAUGGACAUACAGACCACAAAGCCCAGAGCAAACCCUGGACACACUGAGAGUGAUCCCCUACUGGAAGGUGAGGAGCAGCUUCCAGGGAACCAACACCCUGUCAACACCACCAUGUCCCAGCCCAGUACCGCUGCCACCCUCCAGACUCAGAGCGCCGUCCACACUGAUGCUACCACCACCAGUGCAGAUGGUCAGACAGCUUUUGGUACUGCCAAAGUUACCCUGGGAAACAGAACACUCAGUAUUUAAUUUCAGUGUUUACUGAAGUAUGGUCUUGACUGCAUUGAAAUGUAUGGCUCUUUGCAGGUGGUUACCAUCUUGUCUGUUGCCAGUCCAAAUUAAUUAGUUUGACCCUCUUGUCCCUAGAAUUUAUCUUUGGUGAGGAGACACCCUCUCCUGCACCAGCCCUGCUCAUGGACAGGCCAGGUGAAUCAACAAUGAAAAACAUGGUUCAAGUUAUACAGUGCUGGAAAGUUAAGAUUGGUUAAACUAUAGGCUGUUGUGUCAAAUCUUAGGAACUUGUCCAGCGAGGAUGAGUUUGAAGAGAAAAGGAAAAGUGUAUCCUCUGAUGAAUUAUUUGAGCCAUACCUAGAGAAGGAGUGAGUGGAUUAAUGUGGGUUCUAGCCAGAGGUGACAUGCCCAUAGGGGGCACAGGGUCACAUGCCCCUCCAGACUGGUCCUGUUUAAAAAUAAUUGUGGUUUCUCUGUAAUACUACUAGCCACCUAGCAAUUUUAUGAAGCUGACUUUAGCUAGCCCAGAUAGGCUCCCAACCUCAACUAGCUACCAAGAUGCCAUUUCAGUCUAUCAAGUUAGAGUAGCUAGCUUGUCUAUCUUAACUGGCAUGCCUAUAAAAGCAAGCAAUAGCUAAAUGUACUGAAUAAGACUGACAUUCCUUUCAAUCUUUUACCCAGAAUUUAGCAGAGAAGCAUAUUUCGUUUUUUUUUUUUUUUUACCCACCUGGAGGAUACAGACAGCUCAAGAGGUAUGCUUAGAUAUGCAGAUAAAUAUACAUUUUUCUUUACAAAGAAUUAAGUAUUUUGGGGUGCAUGAUGCCCUGGUUCUAGCUAUUUUGCAUAUCAAACCAAAAUUAUACAUAACACAUCAGUGGACAGAAAGAUCUCUUAUUACUAGCGGAAAAAGGGCAUCGUGGCUUUGAUGUCUUCCGUGUUCUCUUCCUUUUCCCAUGCCCUGCAGAAUUGCUUCCCCGAAGAAGAGAACCAGAAUAAAAGAAGCAAUUGGACUGAGGUGUAGUAUCCAUGUUUGUUUUUGGUUUUCAGAGAGGAGCUGCCCAAUCUACAAAUGUCCGUACCCAGGUUGCUUAUCUGUAUAAAAAAUAAAAAUACAUUUUUUUUUUAAAAGAGCAGAGGGCAUAAAGGUCAGAUUCAAGUCCUCCUUACAGCACUGUUAAUUCUCUUAUGACAAUGAACAUGUCUGUUGGUACAUUACCGUUUUUUGAGUGCGGUUGUGUCUCGGGUACAGAAACACAUUAAGGAGCACUAGGAAGAGGUCUGCGAGCGGCCCUGCCCUCACCAUAGGCUGCAACAAGGUCUUCAUGAUUGACCGCUACCUGCAGCGACACGUCCAACUCAUUCACACAGAGUUGGGGAACUACAUCUGUGACCAAUGUGGUCAGACCUUCAAGCAGAGGAAACACCUGUCUGCACCAGAUGUGCCACUCAGAGGUUAAGCCACUACAGGGGGAGAUUAAGCUCAUAUCAGGUGGCAAGGUUCUGCUGAAUUGUGUUGUGAGGGGCUCAAGCACUGAUGAGUCUGUCAGGAGUUAGCCAAGCCUUUGAUUAUGUGGUAUGAUUUGGGUGAGUCUGUAAUAAUGGAAAGGAUGGAUAGGGGCACAAGAAUGCAAUCUUGUAUUUGGCACCCUCACUAAGCCUUUUUGUCAAAUUUAAGAUGACCAAACAAGGCAGAGGCUGAUCUGGAAUUUGCAUGUGAUCUGUGUGGGGAGCGCUUUGAGAAGGCCCACAACCUCAACGGCCACGGUGCAUCCCCUCACACUAGCAGCUGUCAGAGGAAACAUUGACAGCCCCUCCAACAACCAACCAUCAGAGACUGGGGAGCUGAACCCAUACACCGGUUGAUAGACUUGAUUAGGUCCGUGACCGACAAGGAGCUGCAAAGAACACAACGUCCCUUGAGCCUCUAAGGAGUCUGGUAUAGAAUGGUCAUGGGUACAGUGACUAAUUGAACAGGACAUGGAAUCACUAGUCACUUUUAAUGUUUAUACUGUUGUACUCAUUUCAAUUGUAUAUACUGUAUUCUAGUCAAUGCCACUCAGACAUUGCUCGUCCUAAUUUAUAUAUUUCUUAAUUCCAUAAUUUUACUUUUAGAUGUGUGUAUUGUUGAAGUAUUAGAUACUACUGCACUGUUGGAGCUAGGAACACAAGCAUUUCACUACACCUGCAAUAACAUCAGCUAAAUAUGUGUGAGACCAAUAACAUUUGAUUUGACUUGUACUGUUCAUGCUCUAAACCAGGAAUAGGCAACUGACUGGGGCCACAGAAAAAUAUGAACUCAGUGGUGUAAAGUAAAAAUACUUUAAAAGUACUUAAGUCAUUUUUUGGGGGUAUCUGUACUUUACUAUUUAUAUUUGACAACUUUUACUUCACUACAUUCCUAAAGAAAAUGUACUUUUUACUCCAUUUUCCUUGACACCCAAAAGUACUUGUUACAUUUUGAAUGCCAUCUGGUUUAUUUGUACUUUUACUUUUGAUACUUAGGUAUAUUUAAAACCAAAUACUGGGUGACUGACUUGAGUAAUUUUCUAUUAAAAGAUAUCUUUACUUU